rnacentral:rRNA from 1 species
AAACUAACAGCUCUUUCAAGAUUAUGUGGUAGGUGGUGCAUGGCCGUUCUUAGUUCGUGAAGUGAUUCGUUCGCCCAAUCGCAUUUCCAAACAACUAACAACUCAGAAUGCUGGGCAAUAGGACGUUUAAAGUGGCUCCUUACACCUUACAAAGGAAUGGCUGAUGAGAAACAACUCGAUCCGCUCAGCGUUCUAUUGGAAUGCAACGGACGUGAUUGCAAGCUUUUGUUUUGAGUUGCGGUUUUACUGAAAGACUCUACAAUCCGCAAACUUCAAUGAUCUGAAGUAGAAAACCUACAUGCUACAGUGAGAUAUUGUGGAUAAACUUAAGCGACCGCUCCAACAUUGUGUUUUUUUAAAACUGAUGAAGGUUGCGGCAAUAACAGGUCUGUGAUGCCCUUCGAUGUCCUGGGCUGCACACGUGCUACAAUGGCUAGCGCAGUGAGCAUAUUUCAACCGAAACAUCGGUUGGCUGUUCUGAUUGACCCCUUCUGGGUCUCUCUGUAACACUACCGAUGAUCCCU